GGCGCCGCCGGCCCGAGGCACCUGUGCGCGCCCGCACCGCCGGCAGCCCAAUUGCCGCGGCUCCCCGACUCGGAUCCGCCGGCGGUCGCCUUGCCUCGCUCUCCUUUCUGGUCAGAUUACGAUCAUGCCUGGGCGUCCAUGACAUCUGUGUACUCCUCUAUUGCUGUCUGCUUCCCCAGGCGCUCUUUGGCACAGGGUGUCCGGCCAGAAGGAGCCACCGGCGGGGAACUCGAUGCAGGCAACCGCCGUCAGCUCCUUGGAGCAGUUGCUUGCGCACGGGUGGUAGUGUUUGCCUCCUGGGUAGACCAGCUAAUGAGGCUCCAGAAACAGAGCAGAUGGCAUAUGGACAUGGUUCAAAGCAGCAGAGAUUACAGUUUAUAAGAAGGGACCAGGACCUGCUCUCCUUGAGGCAGGAAGAAGAAAUCACUGGGAUAAAAUAUGAGUCUUUGUAGUUGCAAGUCUUAUCCUUUGGGAUUGUACAAGCAAAAUUCACUGUGGAGGCAAGGUAUGUCAAAGAUUGAAGUGAGGAGUGACCUCUUUCUUGACACCAC
rnacentral:lncRNA from 1 species